rnacentral:misc_RNA from 1 species
UCCGGUUUGUCACCGGCAGUCUGGCGUGAGUCCCCAACUGAAUGCUGGCAACACGCCACGGGGGUUGCGCUCGUUGCGGGACUUAACCCAACAUCUCACGACACGAGCUGACGACAGCCAUGCAGCACCUGUGGCGCACCCUCGAAGGUCACACGUUUCCGUGCGCUUGCAGCGCCAUGUCAAGCCCAGGUAAGGUUCUUCGCGUAGCAUCGAAUUAAAGAACAUGCUCCGCUGCUUGUGCGGGCCCCCGUCAAUUCUUUUGAGUUUUAGCCUUGCGGCCGUACUCCCCAGGCGGAACACUUAACGCGUUGGCUACGGCACAGAGGGAUUCGACUCCCCCCACACCCAGUAUCCAUCGUUUACGGCGUGGACUAC